GUGGAGUUGUGGCUCAGUGGUAGAGCAUUUGCCUAGCAUGCACAAGGCACUGGGUUCGAUCCUCAGCACCACA
rnacentral:tRNA from 1 species